rnacentral:miRNA from 1 species
UCUCCCUGUAGCCCCAGCUGUCCUGGAACUCACUAUUUAGACCAGGCUGGCCUUGAACUCACAGAGAUCCGCCUGCCUCUGCCUCCCAAGUGCUGGGACUACAGGCAUGUGCCACUAUGCCC